UACGUAGGGGGCAAGGCGUUGUCCGGAAUCAUUGGGCGUAAAGAGCGCGUAGGCGGCCCUGUAAGUCCGCUGUGAAAGUCAAGGGCUCAACCCUUGAAUGCCGGUGGAUACUGCAGGGCUAGAGUCCGGAAGAGGCGAGUGGAAUUCCUGGUGUAGCGGUGAAAUGCGCAGAUAUCAGGAGGAACACCGAUGGCGAAGGCAGCUCGCUGGGACGGUACUGACGCUGAGGUGCGAAAGCGUGGGGAGCAAACAGG
rnacentral:rRNA from 1 species